UACCAGCUCCCAUCUUCAACAUGUCAACACUGAAGGUACUUAUCCUCAUAAAUAACUCUCUCUCCGGAAGUCUUCCAUCAAGAAUAGACCUUUCACUUCCAACUAUUGAGCAUCUUAACUUGGGACUUAAUAGAUUUUCUGGAACCAUUCCUAGUUCCAUCACCAAUGCUUCUAAGCUCACCUUGCUAGAAUUGGGAGGAAACACAUUUUUGGGAUUUAUUCCAAACACAAUUGGUAAUUUAAGAAACCUUGAGUGGCUCGGCUUGGCUUUUAACUACUUGACAUCUUCAACCUCAAAAUUGAGCUUUCUUUCCUCUUUGGCAAAUUGCAAGAAAUUAAGAGUCAUAAACUUAGCAGGCAAUCCACUUGACGGCUUCCUUCCAAGUUCAAUAGGAAAUCUUUCUAAGUCCUUGGAAACACUUGUCAUCACCAAUUGCAGUAUUAGUGGCAACAUUCCUCCAGCAAUUGGCAAUUUAAGCAACUUGUUGGGCUUAGUAUUAGAAGGCAAUAAAUUGACUUGACCAAUUCCAAUUACAUUCGGCCGACUGCAGAAACUCCAAAACUUAGAUCUCGCAUUCAAUAAGUUGGUAGGUUCAUUCCCAGAUGAGCUUUGCCAUCUAGCAAGGCUGGGUCAAUUGGUCUUAUUUGGCAAUAAGCUUUCAGGAUCUAUACCUUCAUGCCUAAGUAAUCUCACUUCUCUAAGAUCUCUCUAUUUAGGGUCCAAUAGGUUUACUUCUGUUAUUCCCUCAACUUUCUGGAGCUUAAAAGACAUCUUGUUCGUUGACUUUUCAUCAAAUUUCUUGGUUGGUCCUCUUUCUUUAGAUAUAGGAAAUUUGAAGGUGCUUGUAAGAAUAGAUUUAUCAAAAAAUAACUUAUCCGGUGAUAUCCCAGCCACAAUUGGAGGUCUAAAAGGUCUUCAAAUUAUGGACAUAGCAUAUAAUAGAUUGGAAGGCCCAAUUCCUGAAUCAUUUGGUGACUUGAUAAGUUUAGAAGUUUUGAAUUUGUCAAAUAAUAAAAUCUCUGGGUCUAUUCCAACAUCCAUGGAGAAACUGUUUUUCCUCCAAGUGUUAAAUCUCUCUUUCAAUAAACUAGAAGGUGAGAUUCCUAGUGGAGGAAUUUUUGCCAACUUCACAGCUGAGUCAUUUAUGGGAAAUGAGUUAUUGUGUGGUUUACCAAAUCUUCAAGUCCAACCAUGCAAAGUUAGCAAGCCGAGGACAGAACAUAAAUCAAGGAAAAAGAUACUUCUCAUUGUGAUUGUUUUGCCAUUGAGUAUUGCUCUAACGAUAGCAAUCACUCUAGCUCUCAAAUCUAAGCUGAUCGAAUGUGGAAAAAGAAGCACAGUGUUGUCAAACGAUAGUGUCUUGUCAUCACAAGCAACACUAAGAAGAUUUUCAUACUUAGAACUUUUACAAGCAACAGAUAAUUUUGCUGAAAACAACAUAAUUGGCAUAGGAGGUUUUGGUUCUGUUUAUAGAGCAAGACUUGAAGAUGGGAUGAAGAUUGCAAUAAAAGUGUUUCACCAGCAAUGUGCAAGCGCAUUGAAAAGUUUUGAGGCUGAAUGUGAAGUGUUAAAAAAAAUUCGCCAUCGAAACCUUAUCAAAGUUAUCAGCAGUUGCUCGAACGAUGAUUUCAAAGCAUUAGUCCUAGAAUACAUGUCCAAUGGGAGCUUGGGGGAUUGGCUGCAUUCUAGCAAUUAUGUGCUGAAUAUAUUUCAAAGGUUGAACAUAAUGAUUGACGUUGCAUCAGCUUUAGAAUAUCUCCACUUCGAUCAUUCAACUCCUAUUAUUCAUUGUGACUUAAAGCCUAGUAAUGUAUUGUUGGACGAACAUAUGGUUGCUCAUUUGAGUGAUUUUGGCAUAGCAAAGCUUUUAAGUGGAGAAGAUGAGUCAACGAUGCGAACAAAAACCCUUGCCACUAUAGGUUAUAUGGCACCAGGUUUGCUUCAAACAACUUUUGUUGUUAGUUCAUUUUAAAUUUUCCAACUUAUUGAUUUUUACGAUCCUCACAUCAAAAUGUUAUUGAUUAUUUAUCUAAUUGUGAAAUUAAUUUGAUUCAUAGAGUACGGCAUAGAAGGAGAAGUAUCUACAAAAAGUGAUGUUUACAGCUAUGGGAUUAUGUUGAUGGAAACUUUUACCAAGAAAAAACCCACAGAUGAAAUUUUUGUCGGAGAAUUGAGCUUAAAGCGUUGGGUUAAUGACUUGCUUCCUACUUCAUUAGUGGAAGUUGUGGACAAAACUCUGCUAAGUGGAGAGGAAAAACAUUCUGCAGCAAAGGAGCAAUGUCUGUUGUCUAUCUUUAGCUUGGCUCUGGAGUGUACAAUGGAAUCACCGGAAAAGAGGAUUAAUGCAAAAGAUAUUGUUACCGGAUUACUCAAGAUAAGAGACGCAUUGGGUAAAAGGAUAGGAAAUUUAAGUUAAUUUCGUUUGCUUUCAUUGAUAGUUAAUCUGAAUUCAUGUAAUAAGUGUAGGAAUCUUAUAUCUUUUCCUUUGAUAUUUUUUUUUUCUUGAGAAAACUGUUGUAGUCAUCUUGUUUCCAUGGGCGGAGUUGACUUAGUUCUUCCAAGAAAUGCUACUGAUGAUCUUUGUUAUAUACUUUCUCUUUUUUUUGCAUGCGUUUAGGUAGAAUAGUGGUCUAGCUGCAGGCUAAUAUGUCAAGCUACGCCAAAAGCGUAUGAUUUAAUUUACUAAACAUAACUUCAAGUUCAAGAAGUGUUUUUCACUGCCACCAAUGCUUUGGACACCUGUUGGAAGGUUUGUUGUCCUCAGCUUUUGUUUAGAGCAAAAGUUCGAGUCCCAUAAAGGCUCACACAUUCCUUUCCUUCAUCGCGAGGUGAAGAAAUUAGAAUGACAACUGGGACAUAUAUAAGAGUGAAAUAAUUAAAAAAUUAUGCUUUUUUGUUUCACCGAAGUACUGUGAAAGAGAUUAAUUUACAGAAACUGAAGCCAAGGGUUCAAAAAAAAAGUGCAAAGAGAAUAAUUGUAUUAGUAGCACAAUGUCAUAGAGAGAUCAAUUAUAUUAUUUACGGCUGGUAAGGACUAAGAAUUGAUGUAGCUAGAAUGCGAAGAUGAUAAGGUAUGUUGUGCACUAUUGUUUUAUUCUAUAAUCAAUCUUGACCCUUGAUGCUUGGCUCUCAAUCUUGUCCAUUGAUCUUCUCUGAUUUUGGAGACUUGAAGACCUUUCAGUAUCAUGCCUUGUUGUUGGUGUCUUCCAUGCUGUAGAACCGCCGACUUGCCAAGUAUUUGUUCAUUGACGCAUUUUAUCAAACAGUUGGCCUGCUCAUAGCAAAUAGCUCCUCUUUUAGAGCUUUCGAAUUCAUGCCAAUUAAUUUUCAACUAGGCUAUUACCACAAUAAACAUUUAGAAAUCUAAAUUUGUUCAUUAUAUAUUCUGAUCAUCACUUGAACAUCCAUGCAGACUCCUAUUAAUUAUAUCCUCUAAUGGAGAGAACUCAUUGCCUCAGUAUGAUCACUGUGUCAUCAACCCACUGCCCGCUUCUUUGCUUGGUUGUUGCAGCAAGCAACAAUAUUACCACAGAUCAACAAUAGUUUGUCCAUUUUUUUCAGUAAGGUCGUCAUUAAAAAUUAAUUUUCAUAUUGAUUUUCUUAAUUAUAAAUAAUACUAAUGAUAUUUCAUAGUUAUAAAUAUAUUAGAAUUAAUCAAAAUCAUUUUUUAGUGCGGCAUGGCUAAAACUACCUUUUUUUUUUUUUUUAUAAGUAAUUACUACUUUAAGGAAAAUACUCGUAUUUUCAGGAAAAAGUCAAGUACCCGUAGUUGUGAAGACUCGAGCUCACCCUCUUAUGAUAAAUCUUCAUAUCAAUUACAUAAAUAUCCUCUAAAUGUUUAGUUAACUAUUCAAAAUUCGAUGUUAUAUGGGUAUUUCAUUUAUUUGAGUAGGGGUUAGGGGUCAAUUGGAUACAAAUUCAAAAUUAUCCUUACUUGAGAAGGUGAUAAACAUUGGGGAUUUAGUUUGGGUGUCAUUAGCUACAAAUAUUAAACUCAUACAUCUAAUUCAAAAUUGCAUCCAGGUUCAUUGCAGCUAAGGCUUGUGGAAUUUCAUCAGUAAGAUGUGAGUAGUCAUACCUACGUCGACAUUCAAUGGCUGUAUGUUUCUGUAAAUGACAAAUUUGGCAUAUGACAGUUUCUUCAUUGACUUCCUCAGCUUGUUGUUUGGAUUGAUUCUGAAUUUUGUGCCAAGGCUGUCCAGAAUUAUUUUGUCGAGGUUGCUGCCACUGUUGUCCCGAAUUUCCUUGCCAUGAUUGUUGCCCUUGUUGACUUGGAUUAUUGUUUGAUUUUUGCCAUGGCUGACUUGCAUUAUUAUUCCAACUUUUUCCACCAUUGUAGUUGAUUUUUUGACCACUUGAAUCAGCCAAAUUUUGUCCUCCUGCUGCUGUAAAACCACGACCUUUUGAGUUAAAGAAACCUCCAUUUCCACGACCUUUUCCCUUGCCUCAUUGGCUAAAAAAGGCUUGAGCCAGAUUGAUUGUAUUCUUCUUUUCUUCUUCAAAAUUAAUAAGAGUUUGUUCAUGAUUUUCGAGGGCCAUGACAAACUGCUUAAAUGAGGGAUAAGGUGGUUUCGAAAGUUGAGCAAGUUUGAAGUCUUGAUACCUGUAGCCAAGACCUCUUGCAAGACCAAAGACUUCAUCUAAGUCAUUCACUGGCUUAUUUAUUGCAGCCAAACAAUCACAGAUAUGCUUGUAUUUGCGCACAUACUCUUCAACUGAUAGAGAUCCCUUUUUAAACCGAGAGAAUUACUAUAUUUACACAAUUAACCUUGGCUAGAAUUAAUUGUGCAGAUUGGAUGAUAACUAGAGAAUAGAAAUGAAGAAAAGGAAGCACACAACACCGAGAAGAGUAAUAAUUAAUGCUGCCAUUGACGAAAUGUUUUAUAUUACUCUUCUUUCUUGGUAUUUAUUUAUUUACAAUUUUUAAUGUAAAUGUACAGUUGUUGGGCUAAUAUCUUAUUUACUUUUGAACGUAUUAGAUGCCUUUUUUUUUCUUGGUUCAUAAUAAUUUUGUAGAAAUUCCUCAAGUUUGCCUAAAUGAUAGCACAUAUUCAUAAUUGGAUUGAUUGAGUAAUAAUAAAAUAUAUUUAUUUGGCAAAUGGCAGUUAGGCUUUCUUUUGAUGCAGAUUAAUUAGAGAGAAUAUAUAACAAUUUUAAGCUCGUCAGAUUCGGAAGCUGCUUAUCUGUCGUGUGGGGAUCACUUCCGUGUCUUAUUUUUCUAGAAAAAUCUGGACCAUUGGAUUUCCCAUUAUUCAAUAGAUAAAUGUUUGAUCUUGAUUCUUGAUUAAGAUCGAAGUUUGAUUCUAACCAACAUGAUGUCAGAUUCAGAUUGCGAAGCAAGCAAAUUGAAAGUAACUUGUUCUAUUUUGAUAAACACAAGUUCUAAUAAAACAUUCUCAUAGUAAAGUGAAUUACCAUCCAACGAUCCAACUCAUGUUUUCAAAUUGUAAAUUGCAAAUCGUGCGUUUGCUCCAUUACAGCGUUUCUUCAAUCUGAAAUAGAGAAUCAUUUGUGUUUUGGAUUAAUCGUGGGUCUAUAUCCAAAUCUAAAAAUUGACUAAUUUAAUUUCUAUUAAAUUCUUAAUCCUAACAAGAAAAAUUGAAGAUUAAAAACGACUAAUUUGGUACCAUACCACUAUUGUAACAUAGGUAGAUCCUCUAUUAAUUGGAGUAAAGAUUGAAUUAUCUCAUUUAUUAAGGUUUAUCAAAAUCUUGUGUCAAAAUCUAUUAAUGAUAUAGGUUCAAGGAUGAAAGAGUCACUUCAUUACUUUUGAGUUCCCAAAUAGAUGAAUGGAUGUUAUUUUUGGAUUCCGGAGAGUCGAAAAUAUUAGGAUAGGUGCUAAAUCGAAUUAAGUUGUAGAUAAGAUAGAAAUGGAUUUGGAGAGAUUGGAAUCCUAGGUAAUCCGGUGCACGUUGUCGUGUUAAAUUCUCGUUGACUUCACGUUGACUGAAGCAUUAUUGGAAGAAACAAGUUUAUUGAUGUGAGGCCUUUGAGAUUGUAAGUGUUAAAUCUGAGAAGAAUACCCACACAACCAUUAUCCUAUUACUCUUAUAUCACGUGAAGAGAAUUCAACAUUUGAUUCACACGGAAAAAAUUUGUGAGGAUUGUGAGGGUUGAUGCAAUAUAAUUUAGAUACAAAGUGUUUACCAGUGCGAUGCUUCGCAAGUGUUCUUGAAUCAAUAUAAACUCACGUUAUUUUCAUAGUGAUUGUUUCAUCUGCACGUGGAUAUAAUCACAUGUCGAGAUUUUUUUUUCUUAAAUUAUGGUCUUAUUUAGUAUUGCGGUGUUAUAUCUUUUAAGGUACAAUUAUUGUUGGAAAAAAGUUGCAACUAUUAAAUAAAAUUAAUACUAUGUGCUAAAUAUAAUUGUUAAAUAAUAAUUUUGACAAAAUUAGUGAAGUUAUGUAGAUUUUUUUUCAUCAUACAAGUAUAAAAUCAAAUCAACUUAACUUCUAAGUUCUAUAUCAGCUACUGUUUAUCAUAUGUUUUAGUUCUGUAACUUUUAAGUUAUAGUUACCCAACCUCAAUUCUAAACCAGACCUAUAAAGAUCAAAGAUUUCCUCAUUAAAUUAUAUGUCUUGUGAUUGCUUAUUUAAUUUAUAUUUUUUUUAUUUAUCUUUAUUAAUUAUAAUCAUCUUUUUAUAAAUUAAAAUUGAAGGAAGUUGAUUGAUGUUGUUGACACACACACACACACACGCACGCACGCACGCACUCACAAAGAUCACCACAAGAAAAUAGAGUAUUGGCUACAAAUUCUAUUGCAACAAAACUUACUUUAUUGCUAAAAUUCAUAUCUUGCAACAAAAAUUAGUCUUUAUCGCUAUAGCUAAACAGAUUUUAUUCUUCUUAAUGAUGUGGAAUAGGCAAGAAAAUUAGAAUAUAUGGCAACAAAAUAUUUUCUUGCCCUAUGCUAUGUUUGGCAACAAAAGUGUUCUUGUUGCCUAACAAGCUUAAUGAAGGCAAAAUAUGUUUCGUUGCUCAAGUUUUUCCACAACAAACACUUGAAUCAGUUGCAACAAAUGAAAUAUUGUAAAAGGUUGUGAUUAGCGAGAAAAUUUGUUUUGUACUCUCAGAGUUUUUUGCAACAAGAUUAAUUUUGUUGCGCAAAGGUUAACAAAAAUAUUAAAUUAAUAAAUGAAAAUAUAAAGAUAAUAUAAAAGCAAACAUGACUUUGUGGGAGGCUUUUUAAUUUUUUAUUUCCGCGCCCUUUAUUUAAUAAACCGCGUGCUAACCGAAGUAAAGUUUCCAUCUCCAAUUUUUUCUUAAUUAAAAUAUUGCUUCUAGAAUAUUUCCACUUUACUCUUCGCUUGUUUCUUUUGCCCUGCCUUGGAGUCAUUCUCUCUGGCCAAGCUUUAAGCCAUUGAAGAGUUGUACUUGGAAGGCACCACUCAAGACAACGAUUUCUUCAAGUAAAUUUAGUUUUAUUUUAUAUAUUGGCCUGUUGAGUUUGAUUUUGUUUAGUGGGUUUUGCUUUAAUUAUUUAUUAAGUGGGUCUUUGUUUCAAUUUUUAAUUUGUUAAAUUAAAGUUAAUGGAUUUUUCAUGGUGAAGAACUUGAGUUUGUGGACAAUAGUCAAAUGAAUGUAGGAUCUAUGCCCAGUAAUAGGAUCUUUCAUGUUAUAAUUUCUUUGACAAAAUUAUAGUUAUAUUGAUUUAUUUUUAUGUUGAUUAUUAAUAAACUCUAAUGUAUAUUUUUAAUAAUUACUAGAUGGGUCCUGGACAUAGAGUUACCAAACGUGUAAGAGCAGAAAUUGUUGUCGCAUCUACAAUUCCCCAAUCUCAGCCUGUUAUGCCCAGCCAAGAGUUUGUGCAAGGUGUUGUUACAACUCUAGAAUUUGGUACUUAAAGAGUUUAAUUGGUAGGUUUUGUUUGAUCGACUAUUAGUAAGUACUUAUGAUUAUUAAUAUUCUUCAUCUGUCAUUUUUUUUAAUUAUAAACUGAGAUAUCUUUUUUUCCUAAAUUCAGUCAAAUUUUGAGAUUGAUUUGAACUUACCACAUGUUCGUCGAUGUGUGAAUAACAUUAUGGGUGGGAGAUAUCAUGAUAUGAGACAUUGGAUGUAUGAUCAUUACUUGGAUUAUCCAUCCUUUGAAGAGGCACUUAAGCAUUCAUAUCCAGGCAUAUGUCCAGAUGAUUGGGCUUGGCUUUGUCAUAACAUUUACAAUUCCGCAAGUUUCCAGGUCCAAUGAUAUUCAUAUUAUGAACUUUAAAUUGUCCAACUAGUUGUCAAUAUGCUUGUAUAUGUAUCUUAUUUUCCACUGUUAUAUUUUUUUAAUGUAGACUCAAUCUACCAAAAACAAAGCUAAUCGUGCUAAGCUUCCAUAUGUCCAUUGUGGGGGAUCAAGACCUUUUGUUAAUUAUCUUGAGGAUGACAUGGUUGAUGGUGAAAUAGAAUUAUUUCGCGUCACUCAUUUCAGCAAGACAAAAGGUUGGGUGAAUGAGGUGGCACACUUAAACCAUGUAAGAUGCUUUGUUGGAAACAAAAUUUUUAAUUUUAUUAUUUCUUAUCACCUACAUACUGUUGAUGAAAGUUUACUCAUUGAGUUUUUUUUCUUAAUUUUUCUUUCAUGCUCUAAUUAACUUUAUUAUUUGAAAUAUCAAAUAAUUAGAUUUAUAAGUAUAACAACAAGUUUUUUUUUUUUUCAAUUUAUGUCUUAAUACAAAUUAAUUCCAUGACCAAUGGAUUAAAUUUCAACUAUUUAAUUAAUAAAAUUCUUUUUUUUCUUCCUUCGUUUACUAACAAAGCUUUACGUAUAGGACCAAAUGGUAGAGAUACAACAACAACAACAAAUAGAUCCUCAAGAAGCAAAACCACUAACUCAAAGGGAAAUAUGCAUUGAAGUACUUGGAAAGAAAACAUGCUAUUUUCGAGGACUUGGCAACGGACCACGCCCAACUUCAAACCAUGGUGUUGAUACUUCUGAGGCUGAUAGAUUGCAUGGUAUUAUAUCUUCACAACAAAGUAGAUUGGAUUCACAAGAUGUUGAGCUUCAAGAACAAAAGAAGACUAUUGAUCAAUUGGAGUCCAGAUUGUCCCAAUUUGAGGGUAUGAUGCAGCAAUUUUUUUCUUCUCAAGGAUCCGCUUUUCGCUUUACAGAUUCAGCUACUCAAUGAUUACUCAUUUCAAUGAUGUCCUUAGAGUAUCUUGAACUUGUUAGUAUUUUGAAUUGGUCAUCACUUGAUCUUUUUGGUUACUGCUGGUGCAUGUCAUAUCUUUAAGGAUUUGGAGUUUGGAGCAGUUGUAAUUAGAGAUCGUUUAUAAUUUUUGCUCAUUACAUUUUUGGGAUAGAUGACAAUCCACUUUUGUAUUUGACUAUCAUAUGUGAUUCUUAAAGUCAGUUUUGUAUAUAUAUAUAUAUAGCUUGGAUACUGAAUGGGCCUUUAACUUUUAAAUUAGUUCAAUGACAUUAAUGAUUUUUUUGUUAGAUUUCUCAACAUAUAUUUGUAGUUUAUUAUUGUCAUGGUGGGGGAAAAAAUUGGUAUCUUUCCCAACGAACUUGGUUUGCUUCCUUUUAUACCAUGAUAUUAUUAAAAAAAAUUGUACUAUUUUUUAAUGACAAAAUUGAUUUGUUUCUAAAAAUAUUUAAAUAUUUAUUGCAAAUUUGUAAAAUUUUCAACAUAAAGAAACAAAGUAGUUUUGUUGCCUAAAAUGAUCUUAGCUAACAAACACCUUUGUUGGUACACGUUUUUUUUAUAAAAUGUACUUUAUUUCUUAGCAACAAAUUAGUUUUGUAGUAAAUAACUAUAUAGAAACAAAAUUAUUUUGUUGUGUAAAACUGUUUAGCGCAACAAAAAUGUUUGUUGCCAAAUUAUUCUCUAAACAAGUUGAAGACUCCUUCACAACGAAUCUGUUUUGUUGCGAAAGGAAGUUUGAGGCGAGAAAUGUUUUGAUAUGUUGUUAAACAUAGAGGGCGACAGUGCUAGGCCGACGACGGGCCGACAAGCUUGUUUUUGUAGCAAUAACCUAUGGCAACAAAAUUGGCACUUUAGGCAACAAAAUCUUUUUGUUGCAAAAAGCCAUUUCUGUUGUGGUGGAUAUAUUGGAAGUGCUUAAUUACGUCGACUCGAAGUUGUUGGGAAUUAAUGCAUGUAUUGAUUUAUUGGGAGUGUUUAAAUGAUUUUGUGAUUUACUUGAUUGAUUGAAUAUUGUUUGAUUGCUUCAUAUCCAUUCUACAAAGUUUAUUUCUUUGUGAAAUUUCAACGAAAUAUGUUUUUUUUUUUUUAAAUAAGGGUGUUCUAAAUAAUUUUAAAAAAUAUAUGGACUAAUUAGAAUUAAUUAUUAGGUAAUUAACUCAAUCUGUACAGGGUGAAACAACAUUUAUCCUAAUUAUAUCAUGAUAAAUACUUUUCUGAUUAGAAUUAGGAAAUCAUAGGUUUAUUGAAUUGUUUUUUUUUUCCUUUGCGGAAACGGAUUAGAGAAUUAGAAAACAAUCAUGUUGAUGUCAAAAUCUGAUCUAGUCGGUUAGCGACUUAACAUCAUAUUACUGCACCAGUAUUAAAUUUAUUUGGUAGAGAAUCGGCUGGUCAAUUGUCAAGAUGUCCUGCAAUCACUAGCGAUUAACCUACGAAUACAUGAAAUCAUAGAAGACGGUAAGAGCCACCAGAAGUUUUUUCGUCGUGAAUCUUCUGACGCUCAAGUCAGUUUAUAGGUUUACCAUAAUAAAAAUAAAUAAUUUCUAUUUAAAACAAAAAAUAGAGAUCAAAAGCUCAAAAAUAAAACCCAAUCCCAAUAUGAAAAUGAAUUUCUUUUUUUUUUUUAGCUUGGCCGAAUCCUUCUGCCUCCUAAAGAAACAUAAUAGAGGAGCAGGUAGCCAUGUUCCCUAGGUAACGCCCCACUCCCCUCUUUUAUUCCUCCCCCUCUCUUCCGUUUCCUUCUUUUGCUCACUAUCCUUUAUAAUUUUUUAUGCUUGUCUUCCCAAAAUAGCCUUUGAAUACACAAGUAAAUGUCUAGGCUUUGGUGAGGAUAGUUUGGUUAUUGCAUUUUACAAGUAAGAUGAGUGGUGGAGAAAAAUGAGGAGUGCAUAUAACUCUUCAGCAAAUCCCACCAACAAUUCAAUUUUCUUAAUUAAUUAAUCUCCUUUUUUAUCCCCAAACAAAUCCUAAUGAUACUAUUAUCAGGUUUAAAACAGUACAUAAAUAGUGAAAAGCUAACUAGUCUGUAGAGUAAUUGCUAAUUGCUUUCUCCUCUCUGAGCGCGCUGAAUAAUUUGUUGCAUGCAAACUUUUUAUUAUAUGCAAAUCGUACGUACUGUAACAUUGGAAUUGAUGUAUAAGCAAAAAUACAAGAAUAUUUAUGUCAAUAAAAAUAGUUUUUUUUUCCUUUUUAAAUAAACACAACGCGAUGUUGCUCUUCUCUACAUUUUUGCUAUCUCUUUAUUCUUUUUUUUUUUUUUUGGGCUUCUUAAAGCCUCAAACUUUGAUAACCAAAACUUCAUCGACCUAUGAAAAAAAUCUGCAGAUUAGUUUUUAUUAUCGGAAUAAUUGUUUGAGAAUACUAAAACAAAAUAUAAAAUAAGAAAAUAGGAGGUUAAAUUAGAGGGGGGGGAAAAAGGCAUGUUCUAUCGAUUACUAUAGUUUAAGGGAAAAAAAAAUCCAAUUGGGAAUUUUUUUCUUUAAUUUUUGUUUUACUUGAUUGAGAUUUCUCCUUAGUCCUUACAGUUUUAAGUUUGGAUGCCGUAGGGUUAGUAAUUUAGUACUUCCUUUGCAAGCUGAGUGCAAGAAUGAAAAUCUUUUAAGAAAUUAAAAAAGAUUAAAAAAAAGCAUACCAAUAGGUAAUUAUAAAUAACCAUAAAUAAACAUAAACAAAAUGUUUAUGAAGUAAAUUACACAUGCACAUAUUUUUUUUUUGUUUUAUUUCUUACUUGUCUAUUUUAUUUGCUGCUUGAUAACCCGUAAAUACUAAUCUAUUACUGCUAAUUCCAGACACAAAAUUUUUAACUCUAGGCUGCAGUUUUACUCAAAAUGAUGACCACUGGCUUCGCACCAUUUAACCGGCAUACAUUUCUACAAAUUGAACAAGGCUAUUGAUUUUCAUUAUUAUUUUUUAUUUAUUUAUAAAUUACUAUUUUAAUUUUCACUUUUUAUUGGGUUGUUUAACGGAUUAGUGAAGUUGGUGGUCGUGAUGCACUCACAAGGUACAAUUUUAUUUUAUAAUUUCAAAUUUGUAUUUUAAAAUACAGGUACAUUAUGUAUACAUAAUUAUUGAUUUUCGUAUGUGGGUGUUUUGAAAUAUUGCUAAAAGACCAAACUUUAAUAAACUAUUUUUCAUCUUUUUUUUUCCUUUUUUCCUAGAGUUUGAGUGAUAUCCGCAUUUUAAAUUCAUGAGGAACAAAAGCUAAUGUAUGCACAAAAUUCUUUUAUUUUUUCCUAGAAAAAUGGGUAAGAGAAGAAGAUUUUUCUCUUGAAAAAGAAAAACUAAUACGAUGCAAGCAUAGGAAAGAGGUCAGUGUUUUUGGAUUAGAAUUUAGUAUUGAGCUGAAUUUUAUACUAAACUCUUUUGUGGUGCUGCGAUUAAUAAACUCAUGAUUUGCUUUUGCUUUUACUUCAAGUGAAAGAAAGAGGAAACCUUUUGUUUUUUGUUUGAUUCUUGACUAUAGAUGUUACCUAUAUAGAGAGUUGAGGUAUCUGCCUUAAGUGAUGGUGAUAAAAAGAUUAAGCAGCGCACACAAUCUUACUGUCGUCCAGACCAUCCAGCUGUGAUGACUCUAGUUUUUUGGUUACAUUAGCUUUAGUGGAAAGGAGGGCCAAUUUAACAAAGACUAGAUUUGGUGGCUUACUAUAAUGCUUAUUCUCAGGGAAUCUAAUGUUAUAAGAUGAUUUAAUGAUCUUCUAUGAUUGUGAGUAGUAUAGUAUAAUUGAAAAGAGUCUGGGCUUCUAUGAUGAAUAUAUAAUAUUAACACAGUACUGUGAUUGAAAAAAACACAGUUACAAUAUACUCUUCAUUUAUUCAUUGCGGAGAUUAAAUGGCAAACAGAGAAUAAAAUGAAGCAGAGGGAUCUCAUUGCCAGUAAAAUUGACCCUCUUUAAUGUUAUAUGGCACAGGUGUGUGUACAGCAAGAGCAAGUUACUUGCAGUUUUUAUUGUAAAAUAUACAGGUUAUGACCAUGAUCAUUGUAGUUAGGUUUUGAUGAUUUUAGAUGCUUUUUUUAUUUUUUUAAAUUGUGACACCUUUGAUUUAUGGUAGUUUUGCAGAAGAAAAAAAUAUAAAUAAAAAUUAGGAGGGAUGAGUUAACUAACGAUUGCAAUCAUUACUGUAAUGUUGAUGAGUGAUACAUCAUUUGAAAUGUACUUGUCAGUUGCUGAAAUGAUGAAAAAAAACAAUAAACAAUAGCAGUAAUAUUUUUAUGGAAAUUCAUGGUUUUUAUGGAAAUACUCUUGCUGAAAUUCUAAUUUUGACUUUCAACUCUUGGUUUUUAUGGAAAAUAAAAUGACUUGUUUAUUAUAUUCAUACAAUCCACUCUACAUAAUGAUUUCAUUUUAAUAAAUGCUUGAUGAUCUCCACUGAAAAACUACUUCAAUUCUUUUGUUUUUUUUUAACUUUUUGGUUGUUGAAAAUAGCCUUAAUUUUCAAAUAACUGGAGAAAGAGUAAAGAACAUUUAACAAAUUUAUGUGCCAAAAAUAAAUGAGAAAUUGAAGAGAAAGGGUGCUUGCAGAAGUGGGUGCAAAGAUAAAUUAGUCUAUAAGAAUUAUUGUGGUUAUUAAUUUUUUGGCAAUAUAAAAAUUUUUCAGCAAAUAAAAAUUGAUUUUUUCCGAUUUACUAAAAAAUUAAUUAAAAACUUUGGCGAUAGCAUUUUUUAUGGGGCAUGUACCCUCCCUUUUAAAAAAAAAUAUAAUAAUUAAUACUUAAUAUAGUAUUAAAUACGAAAAUCUCAAUAUUUGACUACACAAAUUUAUAUCAUUAGGUCCUUAAAAUUUAAAAUUGAAGACACAUAAUGAAAUAUAUAUAAAUUUUCAACCUCAUAGGAAAUGAUCCUCUUAUAAUCUUAAAAUAUUUGAGAUUUGAAAGAUUUUUUAAAACAAAUGUACUUUUAUUUUUGUACAAUCAAUAUUUACUUAUUUAUUAUAUUUUUAUUCAUUAACUAUCAAUCAUGUGAGUAUAUUUACUCAAAAAUAUCAUAUCAACGGAGCAUCUUGAUCCCACGCACACGCAAAUAUGUUAAUUUCUAUACGCUUCACUUACCUCUAGAAUCAAUUAUCUAAAAUGCAAGUUUGUGGCCACAAAAAAAGCCAAAGAAAGAAGAUAACAAUUGACUUGUAUAUUAUACUCAUACAAUCCACUCGACAUAAUGAUAUCAUUUUAAUAAGGCAAUGGCUGAUGAUCUCCAUUGAAAAACUAAUUCAAUUUUUUUGCUUCAUUUAACUUUUUGGUCGUUGAUAAUAACCUUAAUUAUCACAUAAUUGGAGAAAGAGUAAAGAACAUUUAACAAAUUUAUGUGCAAAAAAAAAAAAAAAGGAGAAGUUGAAGAGAAAGGGUGCUUGCAGAAGUGGGUGUCAGAGAAAAAUCGGUCCAUAAGAAUUAUUGCGGUUAUUUUUUGGCAAUAUAAAAUUUUAUAGCAAGUAAAAAUUAAUUUUUUUCCGAUUUAUUAAAAAAAUAACUAAAAACUUCUGCGACAGCAUUUUUAUGGGUGCAUAUACCCUCCCUUUAAAAAAAAUAAUAAUUAAUGCUUAAUAUAGUAUUAAAUACGAAAAUAUCAAUAAUUGACUACUCAAAUUUAUAUCAUUAGGUCCUUAAAAUUUAAAAUUGAAGACACGAAAAAAUUGAAGAUAUGAAAGGAAAUAUAUAUAAAUUUCAUUCUCAUGGAAAGGAUUCUCUUAUAAUCUUAUAAUAUUUGAGUUUUGAAAUUUUUUUGAAACAAAUGUAAUUUUAUUAGUGUACAAUCAAUAUUUACUUAUUUAUUAUAUUUUAAUUUAUUUAUUAUAUUUAGUCAGAAAAAUUAUAUCAAGAGAGAAUCCUAAUUUCACGCAAACACAACUACAAGACAAAUAUGUUAAUUUCUAUACUAUUCACUUUCCUGUAGAAUCAAUUAUCUAAAAUGCAAGUUUGUGGCUACAGAAAACUCGCCAAAGAAAGAAGAUAAUAACAAUUGAGCAUUGAUAGCAAAACUAAUGCAUCCAAUUCUUCUUGACUUGAUGAGAUGGCGCCAUAACGUAGAAACAAGUACCUAAAUUGACCGGCACUGAGUGAUGUGAAUACUACCAGCCAGUUCAUCUCUUCCAGUCUUGCUUAAUCACAAUCACAAACACCACGAGAUCGACAUUUGCAUUAUAUAUAUCUUCAGCAAUCGAAACACCUUGCAUUACCAAAUUAACCAGUAACAAACAAAGCAAUGUUUCAUGGAGAGAAAGCUUAGUCUCAGUAUGAUCAUUGUGUCAUUAACCCACUGCCUGCUUCUUUGCUUGGUUGUUGCAGCAGCAGCAGCAGCAAGCAGCAAUAUUACCACAGACCAACAAGCUCUUCUUGCCCUGAAAGAUCAUAUAACUUAUGAUCCGACCAACCUUUUUGCCCAUAAUUGGACCUCGAAUACCUCUGUUUGUAACUGGAUUGGCAUCACUUGUGAUGUCAAUAGCCAUAGAGUCACAACCUUAGAUAUUUCUCAAUUCAAUCUACAAGGCACCGUCCCUCCUCAACUUGGAAACCUCUCUUCACUCACAACACUUAAUCUUAGUCAUAACAAGCUUUCCGGAAGCGUUCCCACCUCCAUCUACACCAUGCAUACACUAAAAUUUCUUGACUUCACUGAUAACCAGCUCUCUGGUUCAGUUUCAUCCUUCGUCUUCAACAUGUCUUCAAUAUUAGACAUUCGUUUGACCAAUAACAGACUUUCUGGUGAGCUUCCGAAAAAUAUUUGCAACUAUCUUCCUUAUUUGAAAGCCCUUUUUUUGGACAAAAACAUGUUGCAUGGCAAAAUUCCUUCUGCUUUAUCAAAGUGCAAACAACUGCAACAAUUAAAUUUGCAGUUCAAUAAUUUAUCCGGUGCAAUACCAAAAGAAAUCGGCAACUUGACCAUGCUCAAAGGGAUAGACCUCGGCUACAACAAACUCCACGGUAUGUUCAUAAUACUAUGUAAAUAUUUUAAUUUCUCACUUGUUAAUUUUCUUGAAUAUCUUAGAUAAGAUUUUGUAAGUGAGAUUUUUUGCAUCUAUGUUAAUUUACCAGGUGAGAUACCCCACGAAAUCGCUAAUCUUCGAAAUCUAGAGGCUUUAGUGCUAGGAAUGAACAACCUAGUUGGUGUGGUAUCAGCUAUAAUCUUCAACAUGUCAUCACUGAAGGUACUUAUCCUCAUCAAUAACUCUCUCUCCGGAAGUCUCCCAUCAAGAAUGGACCUUUCACUUCCAACUAUUGAGCAUCUUAACUUGGCACUUAAUAGAUUUUCUGGAACCAUUCCUAGUUCCAUCACCAAUGCUUCUAAGCUCUCCUUUCUAGAGUUGGGAGGAAACACAUUUUCGGGCUUUAUUCCAAACACAAUUGGAAAUUUAAGAAAC
rnacentral:lncRNA from 1 species